rnacentral:rRNA from 1 species
CGGCCAGACUCCUACGGGAGGCAGCAGUGAGGAAUAUUGGUCAAUGGGCGGGAGCCUGAACCAGCCAAGUCGCGUGAGGGAAGACGGCCCUACGGGUUGUAAACCUCUUUUGUCGGGGAGCAAAGCGAACCACGUGUGGUUCAUUGAGAGUACCCGAAGAAAAAGCAUCGGCUAACUCCGUGCCAGCAGCCGCGGUAAUACGGAGGAUGCGAGCGUUAUCCGGAUUUAUUGGGUUUAAAGGGUGCGUAGGCGGACGCUUAAGUCAGCGGUAAAAUUGCGGGGCUCAACCUCGUCGAGCCGUUGAAACUGGGUGCCUUGAGUGGGCGAGAAGUACGCGGAAUGCGUGGUGUAGCGGUGAAAUGCAUAGAUAUCACGCAGAACUCCGAUUGCGAAGGCAGCGUACCGGCGCCCAACUGACGCUGAAGCACGAAGGCGUGGGUAUCGAACAGGAUUAGAUACCCGGGUA